rnacentral:rRNA from 1 species
UACGUAGGGACCAAGCGUUGUUCGGAUUUACUGGGCGUAAAGGGAGCGUAGGCGGCAAUUCAAGUCAGUUGUGAAAUCUUCGAGCUUAACUCGGAACGGUCAACUGAUACUGCUUUGCUAGAGUACAGAAGGGGCAAUCGGAAUUCUUGGUGUAGCGGUGAAAUGCGUAGAUAUCAAGAGGAACACCUGAGGUGAAGACGGGUUGCUGGGCUGAUACUGACGCUGAGGCUCGAAAGCUAGGGGAGCAAACGGG